GUGGGGGUAGCUUCAGAGGAUUGCAAUGGAACAGUGCUUACGUGUCAACUCAACUGUCUGUCUCAUAUAACGGGAUGACGUGUCGGUGCGACGUUUUUUGUGGCUUAAAGAGGAAUUUGGUCACACAAUCCGGGUUCGUGUUUCCUAGGAAUAGGCAGUGUGUGUUGUGCGUGAAAUCUUUUUUCUUUUUCUUUUUCUUUCUCUUUUUUUUUUUUUUUUUUACAUCUAUUCGUAUUUUAUUUGNAUCAUUCGUAUUUUAUUGUCGUAUUUAAUUUUCUGUUUAAAAUAAAGUUUUUUUUGUGUGUUAAUGGGUAAAACUGGACCAAUUCUCAAAAACUCAAAUAAUAUUUAUUACUGGAUUUAAAGAAAAAUAGACCUAGAGACCAUAAAUUAAUAAGUUUGGGGGGGAAAGAUUAUUGAUUAGUUAAAAAAUUGGAUGAUAAAUUAGUAGCAGUUUAC
rnacentral:lncRNA from 1 species